UACGGAGGAUCCAAGCGUUAUCCGGAAUCAUUGGGUUUAAAGGGUCCGUAGGCGGUCUUGUAAGUCAGUGGUGAAAGCCCAUCGCUCAACGGUGGAACGGCCAUUGAUACUGCAAGACUUGAAUUAUUGGGAAGUAACUAGAAUAUGUAGUGUAGCGGUGAAAUGCUUAGAUAUUACAUGGAGUACCAAUUGCGAAGGCAGGUUACUACCAAUACAUUGACGCUGAUGGACGAAAGCGUGGGGAGCGAACAGG
rnacentral:rRNA from 1 species